rnacentral:lncRNA from 1 species
CCCAUUUGAAGCAUUCACAGACAUUCUGUAAAUCAUUCUGGUCUGCUAACAUGUGUUGAAGAGAUGUACUAUUGAUGUGCUAAUGAACCAGAACUGAGGUUCAUUCAGAAGAUCAAUGGAAUGUUUCUACAUAUCAUAUAAACUGAUAUGAGAAGAAAUUAUAUUGUCGAUUUAAGAUUUGGAAUAUCAAAUGUCAACUGGAUAGAGGCUGGAUUUGGAGAUGGGAAAGGCUUUAAGCAGAAAACCUACUAGAAGACUUUUGCUAUAAUCCAGGCCUGGGAGGACUAGAAGUGCUUCAACCAAUCUCUAAAGGUAUGUCCUAAAUUGCAGAUUGGCUAAGUAUUAGUUAAUCACCAGUCCCUUUCAUGCAUUU